AUACAUGCCAAAUUAAAUUUUAUCUGUUGUAUUUCACUCUCUCCUUAGUCAUUAUUUAUCUAGAUUAUACAUUGACCAAGGUUAAAUAUUUGUGUAUUUAUUUGUAGCUUUUUGCUACACUGUUCAUUCACAUUGCAGCCUCAGAGUUAAAUGUAGGAGAGCAUGAAUUUCUGUAACAAGCUGACUGCUGGCUACCUGUGAGUAGCUGAAUUUUGCCUUCCCCUUCCAAGUUUUUUAAUGUGGAAAUGAAUUCAGGCAUAAUGCUCGUGACAGUCUAUUUACAGCCGAUAGUUGAUGAGAAUUCUUUGGACCAGAAAAGAGCUUUUUAGUCAGUAGAGGGCUCCCCAUCCUAUAAUAAUAAAUGAUGUUGCUUGAAAAUACAGGUACAAAACAUACUGGAGUUAGGAAAUCUGGGUGAAAUUUCAUGAGCUGGUUCUUUUCUUCAAAUUCAUCCUUUGUGCUUUAAUUUACAGUAAAGUAAGAGAGCCUGUAUUACUUCAUAGGGUGUUAUGAGAAUAAAAACUUACUGUUUCUGAUCAUAUGGGCUCUACAGAAUUCUGAAAUAAUAAGAAGCUGCUGGAUACAAAGUCUGAAUUACUGGGAAGAUGGUCGAUUUUGACGUCUCUUUCACAUGCUCAGGAACAUUUUACAUUUAUGCAGAUAUUUAUUGGUGAAGUUAACUGUGUAGCUGUUAAUUAUGGAUGGAAAAGAUCCACAUCUGGAUUUAGUUGUAAGCUUUCUGACAUUAAUGUAUGUAUAUGCAUACACAUUUGCUGUAAUGGAUGUGAAAUUCUUUUAACUUUGGAAAAUGUGGGUUCCAUUCCAGUUACUGACAUGCACUUAGAAGAGCAGGGACUGGUUUUAAGACUGUCUUGUGAUUCCAUGUUCAGGCUUUAAUUUUGAAUAAUGUAACUUCUGUCAUUAGAGGAUGCAAAAGAAUGGACAGUUACCAUUAUAGUCUCUUUCUAGUCUCUGCUCUGUAUAUCUUGAUGUGUUUUUUCUAAAUUUAAACUUCUGUUUUUAUAAGUGGUAACAUAUUGACUAGAGAUACUGUCAUGUUUGUAAUUUACAUUGUAAGUAACAAUAGCUUCAAAUUAAAUAUCUUUGAAAUCAUUAAAUAUAUGUGCAUAUGAGAUUACAGUUUUCUAUUCAAAUGUUGCAUAUUUGUUAUUUAUAAUACUACCUUUACACAAGUUAAGCUUCAGUGUAUAUUUUGUCAUUUCAAAGUUGCUGAAGUGAGUGUAUAAGUGAAUAUAUGCAUAAAUAUUUUGACUUGUGAAGAAGAGA